ensembl:lncRNA PARP11-AS1 PARP11 antisense RNA 1
GGCUGCAGGAAACCCUGCUAUCACACGGAAGCAAGCCUAGGUUAGCCUCCUAAAGAAUCACAAAAAGAAAGACCCUAGCUGUCUGAAUGAUCUGAGCUAAGUCCCCAGACGUGCAAGUGUGGCCAUCCUAGACCACUGAGCUCCAGCCAAGCCAGCUUGCAUCAGAAGAACUGUCCAGAAAACUCACAGAAUCAUAAGAAAUAAUGCAGCGCAGCUUAACUUGGACUCACCACCUAUCAAGUGCUCGACAGCCACGUGUGCAGUGGUUCCUACGUGGAGCAGCAUACAUCCAGAGAUGCAAAUAUUAAUGAGGACAGUGCUAGUAACAGAGUUGCUGAGCAAUCUAUGUCCCCUUGUAAGAACCAGUGCCCCAGGGGAAGAAACAGAACUCCACAAGGUAGCAGUGUGGGUGUAGUACCCGCAUGUGCCCAUGUUAUGGGAAUGUAGAUGGGGAGUGACCACCGCCAACAGAAGUGUGGCCAUCUUGCCCGAGAUGCCUGAGGACCUCCUAUUUUUAGAUGCUGCUGCCCAAGGCCUGUAUUUCAUGCUAUGGCUUUUGUCAUUUGAAUUAUCAGUAGCUGUCUCGGAGCUAUUACGCUUCACUGGGCCCUGGAGGAUAUUGUCUUAUACAGUCCACUGGGUUUUGGAUAUGCAGUCUGUGCCUUUCAUUGCCUUCCUGGAAAAUAAUAACUAAACUCUUCCUCACCAGGC